rnacentral:lncRNA from 1 species
UGUUUGAACCUGGAGUUCAUUCUUUAGAGAGCCAGGAGGAACAGAAUGAAGAGACUCCCAUCACAGAUGGCAGGUGGGAGCUGGAAGCCCAUGCAGACCAAGAGUGUGGAACUCCAACUCCUCUGGCCAGGGGAAUAAAGAUGAAAUUGUCCUCUAGUUCACCUUGGAGAAAAUGCAUCUUGAUUUUUCAGUCUGGCUUUUGCUAAACGAUGGGAACGCCCACUUGCUACACUGUUGUCUCCGCAACCAGUAACCCUGCCCAGAACACUGGCUGAAGAUAAACAUAAUGGAGGCAGCACGGAGACAGGAUAUUUCCUGGUGGAAUUCCAGGCUUGCCCUGUGUGCAACGCAAAUCCUGUGCUCAGCUGGCAAGGUUGCGAAGGUCUUUCUUCCAUGCCAGGUUGGUCUGAUAAUCCAUGCCAUGUUUUGACAUACUUUGUGUAUUACAACUCAUACACUUUUGCUUCUAUGGCAACUGAUAGCUUUGUAAACUGGCUUUUGAGGCCCUAGGGAAAGAAAUACAUUGGCAGAGUGCUUAGGGUUUCAUUUUUCUGUAAAACAGAAAAAGCAAGAUACUCUGGGGCUGGCUCUGAUGAUCGGACAAGAGAUUAUGUAAUUACCCUCGACGUGCAGCUUCUACGGAGCCAAGAAAUGGCUUUAACUCUUCAGAAGGCCCAUGUUGACUUCAAACAACUUCAAAUCUGCAGACCGGAGCAUCUGGACAGAUGGCAGAUAGCUCAGAGUGGACACAUCCGGCCCGUCCACCACAGAGAAUCUGUGACCUUUGAGAUGGAGUUCGUGUUCGGAUCAGAGUUGGGCUUUUGGAAGAUGCCCUGGCUGAGUCCUGCUCUUCAGAUCCUCACUUCAUCACGAAACCCUCGGCUGGAAUUCGCGGUGGCCUUGGGAGCAGAGGGGCUUGGAACGACCUCGGCCCCCUCGGGGUGCAGGUCCGCCGGCACCCUCGCCUGCCGCCACGUGGACACCGCCCCUCGUGAACCCGCGGGAGCCGCUGUGCCCCAAACGUCCAGCCCGGCGCCUGUUCCCAGGCUGCUGCCCCCAACCGCACGGCCCUCGGGCCCAGCGCGGGGCUCUCUCCCUGCCGGGCCGGCCGGAGGGCCCUCCUCGCAC